rnacentral:tRNA from 1 species
GGCUUGCGUACGGUAGAGGCCUAACCGGUCGCGCUGGGAUAGCGUGACCGGGAGUAAACACCGACACUCUCUCGCGAAUUCGAAUCUCGCCCAAGCCACCA